rnacentral:lncRNA from 1 species
CCGCUAUACCUUGGUGGCUUUGCCUUAUGUGAGAGUCGUGCCUGGGAGAAUGUCCCUCCAGGGCCACACUGCGUGGGAUCUUCCUCCUCAACUCACAUCCUGAUCUUCCCCGCCUUCCUGCCAUCUCACCUGAGGGUCCAGAGAAGAUGGUGAGGCCAGGGGCAAGUGAGAGGGUUCUCACA